UUCCCACAAUCUCUUUUAUUUCUUAUUGAUUUAUUUGCUUUCCCUUUUGGGUUUGCAUCAAAUUGGAAUCAGAGCAAGUUCUACUCUUGGGAAACUGGAAAAAAAGUAGAAGGAUGUCAUGGAUAUGAAGAUGUUCUCAUGUGUCGUGCAAUUAUCACUAUUCGGACUCCAAUGCCUUUCCAUAUUCAUUGCGCUAUUCUUAUCCGAAUUACUUCGAUGAUCAAGAUUGGCAUUCAUAUUGUCUUGAGUCAUACCCAUUUUCAUAUGUGCCUUGUGGUGAUUCCUUUCAACACCCCUCCCCAUAUGCUGGUUAUCCAAAAGCAUCCUAUCGCACAGAAAUGUCAGUGACGCCUACGAAUAUUGAAAAGAUGCAUAAAGAGAACUUGCAGGAGGUCAAGAAGGAGCUUAAAGCAUCGAAGGAAGAUAUUGCAAAUGAAUUCAAUUAACUCAAGGAGUUCGUGAGAGCUUACUUUGAGCCCUUGAUUGAACAGGAAAAGCUUUAUGGGCUUCAAUAUGUUUUAUCUAGCAUUCUAAGGAAUGACGUGGUUAUGGAUAGUGUGGCAACUCAAAAGGAAUCUUUCUUUGGAUUGGUUGAUGGAUCUAUGGUCAUAUCGGAGAAAAUUCAAGUAAAACCAAAAGAUCAGUUGAUGGAUGAUCCAAUUAAGGAGAUUGAAGGUUUGACAUAUAUGGACGAUUCGAUGGUCAAAGAGAUAGAUAGUGCUACAAUCAUAGCAGCAAAAUCCAUAGAGGUCAACACGAUAGUACCAUCUCAAUAUCAAUCAAGGUAUGCAAAUUGAAAGCGGACUAUGAUGAACGGGUCACAAUCGACGUCUAGAACGUGGAGGACCAACAAGAAACAAAAGAAAAGAUGGUUCGUGUUUCAACACCAUAUUAUGCACCAGUUACCCGUUAGGUGUGUAUGUCUCCACCAUCAACUACCAUCGAAGCGGAAGAAGAUGCGCUACAAACGAGGAUUUUCGCAGGAGAUUAUGACUACCAAUUUAAACUCCAGGACGAGUUGUUUUUGAAGCCGGGUGGAAUUGAUGCAGCUAAAUGGCCACACGUACCGAUUGAUCAAGAUUUGAAGAAAAUGCCCGCAUCUCAUGCCAGCACGCUUCGCACGUGCGUACAAGAAAAGGACCACCUUCCUUUUUUAGCCCAUCACCACUUCCCAUUUCUUUCAAAUUUCUAGAUUAGGAAAUUUGCUCUUUUUAUAUCUUUAUUUUUAGGCAGGGAAUAAUUUUAAAUAUUUUCUUAUCUAAGUAUCUUCUUAUUUUAGGCAUUUUCUUAAUUAUAGAAUGUUUUGUUCCUUGGGUGCUUUCCUAUUUUAUAGAUUUUUAGAUUUCAUAUCUUUUAUUACAGAUUGUAAGGUUGAUUAUAAAUAGUACCUAUGGCCAAUGGAAUAAGACAACCUGAUUAAUAUUCUCUUUAUGAAAUUUUCUUAUUCUCUACGAUAACUGUUGAGGGGGGGGAAGUGAUCACUAGUUCUAGACUAGAGGACUGCUGAGCUUGCUCACAGUCUUGCAUUUGUGAUCUCUAACAUUCGGCUAGAGGAUUGUUGGAUCUUUCCCACAAUCACUUUCUUUUCUUAUUGAUUUAUUUGCUUUCCCUCUCGGGUUUGCAUCAAUGUGGCACUUGUUUUUCUCUACUUUUCAAUCAAUUUUAUUUCAAUCUUCACAAAAGAAGUUGCAUUUUUGUGCUAGAUCAAAGUUUUACAUCAGGUAGACCACAAAGUAUAUAUGUUGUGGCCUAUCAUCAAGUGGGUCACAUGUUUAUGAAUGAAAUGGACGAUUAAAAUGAUUUUUUUUUAUUUUUUUGAAAUUUGAUAUGGUUAAAAAUUAUUUGUUGGGGUCAAAAGAAAAAAAAAAAAAAACUCCAUUUCCAGCCAAAGAAGAUCACAAAUCUGAAGUCAACACAACUCUUCACAGGUUUCCAGCUUCUAAUAAUUUGGACAAAUUGUAUAUCUUUUGAUGCCUCCAAUUUCAAUGAAUUUACACACCAAAAGCAAUAUAAAAGCAAGGGAUUGAGAAAAUAGAAGUCUUGUGGAGGUCCCCCCAUGAAUAGAAAGUACUAGAGGAGUCUCAUACCAUGCUUUCUAGAAGAAUCACUCUUCUAGGGUUUCUUUCCCAUGUCAAGAGACGAUAAAGAUGGCUUUCAUGCCAUUUAACAACUCAUACAUUUAUUCUUAGGUCUCCAUGCAUGGCUGUGUGUGCGCGCGCGUGUGGGAAGUGGUACUAUUAGGUCAUGCUCUGUGGGCUCACUGUGAUAUGCAUCACAUAUCACUGGGUAGAGUUCGACCUCAUGGGAGACCUCGUAGUACCUAUAUAUAUAUAUAAAUGCGAAAGCCGAAAUAAAGAUGUAUUAGAAGUGAUAAAUAAAGAGUACUAGUCAAGGAUAUUGACACCGAUGAAAGGUGGAAAAGCUAUUUUCUGAACUUGUUAAAUGACAACCACUCUGAGAGCAUAUGAAUAGAAGGAACCAUAAACUCAAAUGAUGUUUGAGACUGUAGAUGUUAUCAUAGGAUUAGUAUAUUUGAAGCGCAAGAAACUUUGAGAAAGAUGAAAACUGGAAAGCCCUUGGACCAAUUGGCAUAACAAUAGAGGUUUGAAAAUGUAUGGGAUAUACUAGGUUAUUUUGGUUGAUAAAGUUGUUCGCCAAGAGUGUAAGAUUGAAAAAAAAAAUCUAGAAAAAUGGAGGAAAAGCACUGUGAUACAUAUUUAUAAGAAUAAAUGAGAGAGAGAGAGAGCUGUACUAACUAUCACGGGAUCAAACUUAUGAGCCAUACUAUGGAAUAUUGGGACAGAGUGAUUCAGCAAAGACUAAUGAGGCAUGAGACAAACGUAUUAGAAAAUCAGUUUGGUUUCAUGCGAGGGAGGUCUAUCACUAAGGAUAUUUUCCUAAGACAAUUGAUAGAGAAAUAUAGGGAGAGGAGGAAGGAUCUCUACAUGAUCUUUAUUAACUUAGAGAAUUCAUAUGAUAGUGUCCCUAGUUACUCUGGUGGGUGUUGGGAAGGAAAGGAAUUUCAAGAGGAUACAUUGACAUGAUUAAGAAUAUGCAUGAGGAAGGAUAACAAAUGUGAGGAUCACUAGUGGAGACAAUUGAGUUCACAAUUAUUGCAGGCUUGCACCAAGAGUUGGCAUUGAUCUUGUACCUUUUUGCAUUGGUUAUAGAUGAAUUAACGCACCCUAGCGUGGAGAUACGGUGCGUCCUUGGAAUCACACCAAGAUGCCCCCACAUCAUGCACCCACCCCGGUGAGAAGACUCGAACACUAAGCUCCCGCUUUGAUACCAUUUUGAUAGCGAACAACUGACCAACGCACCAAAAGCUCCAAAGGUGAUGGGGAAGGAUCGAUUUUUCCCUAUAUGUAGGUCCUCCCAGGAAAACUUAGGCGAGACCUCUUCGUGGGUUACCCCCAAAUUGCACAAGUUCCUGAAUUGCAGUCCCACAAUGAGUCCUACCUGUGGCCAUUCUGCAUCUCACAGACCCACCUCGUGGUCCACCCCACCCCAGUAUGGAGAUAUGGUGCAUCCUUGGAGUCACAUCAAGAUGCCCCAACAUAAGAGGCAUUUGCAAGAGAAGAGAUCCCACGGUUUAUGUUGUUUGUAAAGGUUUUGAUUGAAUUUGAAAUAUGAGGGAGGAUGUAAAACACAAAGCUAGAUUUAUGGAGGGGUGCUUCAGAAUCUAAAUGAUUUAAAAUUGGUCAGACUUAAGUACAAUACAUAGAGUGCAAUUUUAGUAACAAAAGGAUUGAAAACUAUGAAUAUUUAAGAUACAUGAAUAAGGUUUAGAUUGAGACCCUUGAUUUGGCCUAGAUCUUGAAUUGAGAUGAACUCAUUUUUAGGUGUCUGCCAAACAAAGCCUUAGAUGAUGAUGAUGAUGCAGUGGACCCUUGAUUUGGCCCAUAUCUUCAAUCGGGAUCCUCGAUUUGGUUUAGAUCUUCAAUAGGGACUCAGAUUGGCCUAAUCUUCGAUCUGGCAAUGGUGGAACCACAUUUGGGUCCUUUUAUGAGCCACCCAGGGAUACAAGGGACGAAAAGAAAAAGAAAAGGAAAGCUGAAAUUUAAACCUCACUGGCUUAUUUUUGGUUCAGGGCUUGUUUGAUUGAUGCUCAUAUCUUGUACAAUUGAUGGACAUUCUAGAUUAUCUUCAUGCAUUGAUGUGGCCCCAUCAUGGCUGGGACCGUGCAGAAAAAUCAGCGAUAGGAUGAGGUAGAGAAAAUCAUUCGUAAUUGUAAAGAGUAAGUUUAGACCAUCCAAUUUGUAGUGUUCCUCUUGUGGAAGAUUAGCACCAUCAGUAAAAUGAAUUUUUAAAAAAGAAAAAAAGAAAAAGCAGAGAGAGAGAUUAUGAAUUAGAGAGGGAGAGAGGUAAAAUGCAAAAAAGCAAUGGUGUUAAAAUAGAAUUGCAAAGUGGAGGGAGGAAUGAUUACUAUGGAUGGUGGGUAGGGUGGUUAGAAUUUUAUUUUUUUUAAUUUUUUUUAAAAUUUUUUUAAAGAGAUCUUAUAGUUUUCGAAACUACACUAUUUUUUAGGGGAAGUUUUUUAACCAACCAUGAAUAAAAAAGAGGCGUGGGAGGUAGAGAGAGAUAUGUGGAGAUGCCAAGGACCCCCUAAAAGCUAAAUGCUUAUGUAACCUGAGUAGGUACAUAGGGUUUGCGUAGUUGGUGCUAAUGUUCGUGAAAUGAUUUCAUGUGCAUGAGAUCCAUCCCAUCGAUCAGGUGCACCAUCCCGUGUUUGGAUUUGAUCCUGCUCCCAAAUUCAGGUUGGGUACACCUAGAAAAUAGUGUGAAAUCAUUCCUAAAACCUCUAAAUUCAUGUUUUGGUGCACCUGAAAUUUUGGAAUAGCUUAUUUGUUGCCCGCCCUAUCUGGGUGAUGGAUGUCAGAUGAAUGGAUUGGAUGGUAUAUCAAAACCACAUUGGGUCCAAACACAAUUAAUGAUGGGCUUCCCCAUCUCGGCUGUUCCUUAUGGUAUGGCCUGCCUGAAUUUUUCAUUCACCUGAAUUUUGAAUUCCAGAGUGAACAUGAGGCGGCAAAUUUAAUGGAAGGAAUGAAUCUUGUGCAUGUUCUCCCCAUGUGGCACAUGGUGAGUGGUAGGGGUGAUGCCUAAAAUUAGGAAGGUUUGUAUCCUUAGUGUUAUCUAUAUGCUGGAGGAAAGAGGGAAAAACUGGGGGAAAAAAAAAAAAAAAAAACAACAACAACAACAACAUGGGGACAUAGGCAUGGACGCCAGCCAAGGGUUUGUGUAUGGUGCCCACCAUGUUGUUCAUGUUCCAUCCAAUUCAUUCUUCAAGUGAGCCUCUCAUCAAGAUGAAACUAUAAAAAAUCACCCCAAUCUAAGUCUCAAAUGGGCCACACAAUGUGAAGUUAGAGAUUUUGGUUGUCACUUUACCUUGUUGCUGUGGUGUGGCCCACAUGAGUUUUGAUCUGAUUGAUGUUUGAGAUAUAUGAUGUAGGAGAAGGAUCACCUGAUGGACGGAGUAGCAUAGUGGACGGUGGGCCCCACACAUCUUUGGUGACCUAUCCUAAAAUGCCCCCACUGGAUCACCAACAUAGACAUUGUGCAGCAACUGAAUUGUCUCUUCAUCUCUGAAUGCUAGAAAAAUUAAAAGAGAAUUUAGAAAAAAAAAUUGAAGAAAAAUAAAAAGAAA